GACGAACGCUGGCGGCGUGCUUAACACAUGCAAGUCGAACGGAAAGGCCCUGCUUUUGUGGGGUGCUCGAGUGGCGAACGGGUGAGUAACACGUGAGUAACCUGCCCUUGACUUUGGGAUAACUUCAGGAAACUGGGGCUAAUACCGGAUAGGAGCUCCUGCUGCAUGGUGGGGGUUGGAAAGUUUCGGCGGUUGGGGAUGGACUCGCGGCUUAUCAGCUUGUUGGUGGGGUAGUGGCUUACCAAGGCUUUGACGGGUAGCCGGCCUGAGAGGGUGACCGGCCACAUUGGGACUGAGAUACGGCCCAGACUCCUACGGGAGGCAGCAGUGGGGAAUAUUGCACAAUGGGUGGAAGCCUGAUGCAGCAACGCCGCGUGCGGGAUGACGGCCUUCGGGUUGUAAACCGCUUUCGCCUGUGACGAAGCGUGAGUGACGGUAAUGGGUAAAGAAGCACCGGCUAACUACGUC
rnacentral:rRNA from 1 species